rnacentral:rRNA from 1 species
AUGCUGUGCUGGCCGUUGUACGUGGAGCAGAAGAUGAACAAACUAUUCAUGGUGGGGGACAUGGGGAUCGCCAUGGAGAUGGUCGGGUGGCAGCAGGGGCUGGUCAAGGCCGGUGAGGUGGAGGGCAAGGUACGGCUUGUCAUGGAGUCCAAGGAGGGCAGAGAGCUCAGUGCACGGGUCGAGGCGCACAAGGAAGGCGCGACAACUGCUUGCAACGACGGCGGGUCGUCACGCAUGGCGUUUGCCCAGUUCUUGGCGGACGUAGCCAGCCUUCAGGAUCGGGCAUGCACCGGCAGGGAAGGCAUCUCCAUGGAACUCGUGAUGCAUGAUCUCUUUUACGGAAUUUUGCCAUGUGAUCUUGGCACUGGGGAAGUUUACAUUGAUGAAUGA